AGGAUUGAACUAAUAUAAAUCUAUAUAUACUACUUAGGUGUCUGUCUUGUGUCUGUAUUAAAUCAUUGAAUAACAAUAAUGGAUUAGAAAUACAAAAAUGAUGUACAAAAUGAAGAUAACUCGGUAUGAACAUUAUAUGAUAUGGUUAUUUGAACCUGUUUACUUUUAGGAUGUUUUUCUUUUUGCUAAUACUGUUUGUCAUAUAUUUCAUACAUUGAGUUAAAAAUUGUGAUUUCUCUGACAUUAUGGUAUAAAUAGGGAGAUUUGUAUACAUUUUAAAAAUUAAAUGUAAAAAGGUAGAUUAUUUAUUCUAUUUCUAAAGAUUACUCCUG
rnacentral:lncRNA from 1 species